GGGAAGUUUCCCCUGCAGCCCUGUUUUCUUCUUCUUGAACGUAUCUCUUGCGCGCUUGCAUGCAUAUAUGUGUUUUGCCACGCUGUAAAUAUGCAUGUCUCUAUCUGCAUGUUUGGGUCUGCGAAGGGACGGUGGAGAAUGCUCGCUUCAAACAGGAAGUCCGAAACGAGCAAUACAGCCGAGCUCUGACACGUCAGUAAACAAGACAGGAAAAGUUAGCCGAAGAGAUAGGGAGAGACAGGAUGGAUGGGGGGGGGGGUUCAUGAGGGCGAGGAAUAAAAGGGAAGGAGGUCACAAAGAGAUCGAGGGAGGGACCAAAAAAAAAAAAAAGCAGGAGGGGAAAUAAGUGAGCAUUUGGCUUUUUCUGUCAGCUGAGGCCAGCGCUGGGAGACUUCAACCGCAAACUGUUGAAUUCUGUGGAAGUUUUUUGUUGAGACGCCGGGAUGGUGUGAAGAAAAACACGCAUUUCCUCAAGCUGAUUCCAGGGUACAAUCAUGGAGGAAAUGGACUUUGAGCGUCGCCGGGAGCUGAGGAGACAGAAGCGCGAGGAGAUGCGCCUGGAAGCAGAACGGAUGGCCAAGAACGAUGACGAUGAGGAGGAGGCUGCCCGCGAGAGGAGGCGCAGGGCACGCCAGGAGAGGCUGAGGAGCCGGGACAGUGAGGAGCCCUGCAGCCAAUCAGAUAGUCUGGUCAUGACCAACAGCCACAGUGUGACAGAAAACGUGUCCGUUAGCGGCUCCUACGGAGGCGGCGGGGAUGACGAGGAGCAAGCCCUGCUGGACCGCAUGGCCAAACGCGAGGAGAGGCGGCAGAGGCGCAUGAAGGAGGCGCUGGAGAGGCAGCAGCAGCCGGACCCUGCCGCCCCGGAGGCCAGCGACGGCGCGGCCCCAGAGAAAUACAACGCGGAGGAGGAGAGGCCUUCCUCCUGGCGCAAGGGGCGUUACCGCGACAGCGUGGAGGAAGAAGAGAAGUCCUACAGCUCCAGACGAGAGAAGGAGCAGGACUGGCCGAGAGGGGACGCCAAGGCAGCUCCCGAGGGGGAGGAGGAAGAGGAGGUGGAGCAGAAAACAGCCGAGGUGGAAGUCAUACCGAGAAGGUCGAGCUUUAGAGAACAGAAAUCAGCUGAAGAAGCCGAAACGCAAAGCAAGGACCUCUCUGAAGAAGAGACUCGCUCUGUAGUCAGAGAGAGCUCGAAUCAGGCCGAGUCAGCACAGUCAGAGGAGGAGGAGGAUGCAGUAGCAUCAGGGGAGGCUGAAGAGGUGAAUGAGGAGGGCGUGGCUGGAGAGGACCUGAGGAAGCACAACGGCGGGCUGUGUGAGGAAGCGGCUCCCAAACAGCACAGGAAACCUGAGAGGACCCUCAGCCGUGGCAGCGUGCGCUCCGCUGAGGCCGCCGUCGCCGCCGCCAGCGAGGAGCAGGAUGAGGACGCCCGCCUGGAAGCCGAGCGCAAACUGGAGGAGCUGAAGCGCCGGCGCGACGACGCGGAAAGUGAGGAGUUUGAGAGGAUGAGGCAGAAGCAGCAGGAGGCCGAAGCCGAGCUGGAGGAGCUGAAGAGGAAGAGGGAGGAGAGGAGGAAGGUUCUGGAGGAGGAGGAACGGCAGAGGAAGCAGGAGGAGGAGGAGCGAAGAGCCAGAGAGGAGGAGGAGAAGAGGAAGAUGAAGGAGGAAAUCGAAAGGAGGCGGGCAGAGGCCGCCGAGAAGAGGCAGAAGGUGGAUGACACGAUGGACGGCGAGGGGAAGCCCUUCAAGUGUGUCAGCCCUCGAGGAUCCUCUUUGAAGAUCGGAGAACGGGCGGAGUUUCUGAACAAGUCGGCUCAGAAAAGUUCUGUGAAGGCGUCUCAUUCUCCUGUGGUGUCCAAGAUAGACAACCGGCUGGAGCAGUACACCUCAGCCGCUCAGGUUAGCACGAGAGAGAAUAAGGAGUCUCGGUCUCCUCGCUCCGGAGCGGUGGACCUCCCCAUGGUCACCGACAGCAUACGAAACAUUAAGAGCAUGUGGGAAAAGGGCAGCGUGUUCAAUGCACCCGGCGGCGGCGGAAGUGCAUUCAAGGAAGCGGCGGUGAUAAAGACGGGCGUGGCGGGCCGCAUCAACGACUGGCUGAAUAAAACCCCAGAUGGCGGUAAAACACCAGGAGGAAAGCCCACGGAUCUGAAGCCCGUCGACGUGACCAACAAGAGGAGUUUAUGGGAAAACAAAGGCGGAGCUUCGACAAAGAACUCUCAUAGCUAGUUGACCUCACUGUUCAAUCUGGAAUAAAGCCCGGAGAGGUGGCAGGCAGAGGGGAAACCAAAUCAGUUGCCAACGGCAUGGGGCACUAAUGUCUUGAAGGAGCCACUAAAGCUGGGGACCACGACAAUCCAAAAGUCUUCCUUUGACUUUUCUCCCUGAAGAACCAAAUGAUGAUCCCCAACACCACAGGAUGGCGGGACGCUGUCCUCGCACUGUACUGAAACAGCAUGCAUCACCAGGGUUGGCCAAGUAUAGUGCCUUUGCACAAAAUUAUUAUUAUUAUUAAUAUUAUUGUUUAUUUGCUUCCUAAAAAAAAGUCAAAACGCUGUGAAAUUUGGACGAUAGUCAUUAUCAAUCAGUUUAAAGAAAACCCCUGCUGGGAAGAAUUUAGAUUUUUGUGUUUCAGGCUAUGAUUUCAAAAACUUCCAAAGAGACGUUUGACAGCAGUCCUCUCCCUCUUUCAGAUGAUUUUUUUUUCUUUUAAUUUAUAUUUAAAGCUUCACACAUGGUAUUUUAUUCAAGGUUCACCUGUUCAGGAUAGAUAUAAGCACUUAUAGAAGUAGCUGAACUCACUUAUUAUGUCUUAACAACAGUGCAGCAACGGUCUCAGUAAUAUAAGUUAGCACACGUGAUUAUUUUCAAUAUCAUACGUAUCAUUUAUAACAUCAGUAUACUCACAAAAAAAAGGUAUUUUUCCUUCUUGUUUGUUUUUAGUAUCCAAAUCCAGAAGGCCAUUAUGACUUUUAUUAUCUUUUUGUGUCAUUUUAUUUAAGUUUUAAUGUGUUUUUUCUGGCUUUUUACAUUUUUUUUAAAUCUUCAGACAUUCCUCUUUAAACGCACGUGGUGCCUUCACUGCUUAAAGCUGUAGGUUUUUUUUAUUAUUAUUUUUUAAAUGCAAAGAAUAUGUGAAAACUUGUCACCUUUUUAUACUCUUGUCUUUACAGGAACUUCUUAAUUGUCUCUAUGCACAUUGAAGCAAACAAGCUUUGAAAGGGUCCUUGAACGCCUCGUAGCAACAGAACGAUUGGAGACUUUAGUGUUUAUUCACGCGCAGCAGCUGCAGCUUUGAUAAGAACACCAAGGGUUCAUCAGGGCAUUAAAUUGAUCCAUGUUUCUGCUCAAGAUGACAAUCACAUUCCACGGCUCCUGAAAAGAGCAGGGGAGCUCGACCAAAAUCUCUAGAAAAGUCAUCAAUGUGACGUUUGUGUUUUAAUCAUUUCUUAAUGCUGUUUUUUUUUUUUUACAACUUUGUAUUCAUGUAUUUUUUUAUUCUUUUACUUAACCUGACACUUGUUUGUGUAGUGCUAAGCCUACAAAACAUGUUACCUGUAGUCUCUGCCAGUUUCAUAUGACUUCCAACUGGAUGAAUGUUUUUCAUAUUUUACCUUUGACUCAUCAGCAGCAAUAAAGACAAUAAAGACAUUGAAGUUU